GCGGGUGUAGCUCGAGGGUUGAGCAACAGUUUCCAAACUGGAGGCGUGGGUUCGAUUCCCUCCAUCCGCU
rfam:Rhodopseudomonas palustris strain BAL398 c202l69632c195.692505, whole genome shotgun sequence.